UGCUGCGGUUGGGGAGGUUUGGGUGGACGCCUUUAUGCCCCUAAUGCUUAGCAUGGUACCAUAGGUAUUAAGGAAGUACUUAAUAAAGGCUUGUGGACUUGACUUAAGAAGCCUCUCCAGGCCGGGAUCCUUCACUUAUCUAACUGGUCUUUGUUUAUCUAAGGCAAUAUCUCUAAGGCUUCUCACUGUGCUAUUUCCUCUCCUCUGAUCCAGAUGGUGGUAAAUUCACAGAAGCAGAGAAGACACAGUUAAGGGUUGCAAUGGCCCCAUGUGGGACUCGGAAAAGUGGGGUGCACACACCUGGGCCUUCAGCCCUAAGGGAAUCACUGUCAGGUUUGGAGGCCUUUGGGAGCCAAUUGUUAGAGCUUCUACUUAGAGACAGAGAGAGUCUAAUUAUCCUACUCCAUCCCUGAUGGUAUGAGCCCUGCAUCCUCUAUGGAGUGGUGGGGACGGAGAGGAAGGGAGAUAUGGGGAGAAGUACCCAGCAGGCUGUGUCCAACAUUCUUGGGGUAGGUCUUCAUUCUUUUGUAGCCACUGCAAAGUGUUCCCAGAGAUCCCUAGUCUUUCCCCCAUUAUAUGUGAAAUGAUUUUCUGGCAGUGUCCUGAGCACAAGCUAUGGAAUCAGAUACCUAGGCCUUUCCUCUGACUCCUCAGGAAUCCCUUUACUAAUUGGUGGGUCAUACAGUACCUCAGUUUUUCCAUCUGUUAAAAAUUGGGUCCAUAUUCCUUGUAAGAAAACUGAUUGUGAACUAAUGUCUUAACUCCUGAGGGCUACUUUUUGAAGCUGGUGAGGUGAAUAGCCACAGCUGGAGGGCAUUCAAAAGGCACUGACCCCCAAAGUCGAACAGAAUGACCUGAGAGGCCCAACCCAGCAGUACCUGAGACAGCUCAGAAUGAAGAGCUGUGCACCUCGGAAUCAUCAAUCAUGUCACAUAUGUGAGGGUGCCUGACGUGGCAAAUGAUAUGUAGAGCCUGCAUUAAGUUUGAGCCCGUGCAUCCAGCCACCAAAAUGGCAGAUGGUAAGUGAAAUGGAACUGGACACUGAUCCCUGGCAGUUAACAGCUGAGGAAAGACACCUCCAAGGUCAUUAGGGAAAGGCUUCCCAAGCCCGGAGUGCCCCUGGAACCCAGAGGAGGAGAGUAGCUGGGGAGGGUAAGCUCAGCCUGGAGCUGCAGUUGGAGGAGGCAGCUCCUGAUCCACUUGUAGAUGUGAGGAGCUGCACUGCAGAA